rnacentral:lncRNA from 1 species
CUCCCCCUGUUGGCCAACCAGUUAGCCGGGAAGUGUUCGCGAGUCAAGUUAGAAGCCUUUUUCUAGACAAGCAAAAAUUUAUAAAUCUAUUGUGAUUCGUUCCUCUCUUUUUAAACCCCUGUGUAAAAUUCAUUUAUUUGAAAUACGGUUAACUGCUAUUCGAUUUUUUCAAAAAACGGGGUAAAGAGAGAUUUUUCAACGAGUCAUUUUUGGGCAAUAUAUUGCGCAAUCAGAAACAAACUUGUUUUCGAAGAAAAACAGUUUGUCUUGAAGAAAAGAAAGACUUGAGAAGAAAGUUUUCUUUUUCCUUUGUGUGUCGUCGGUAAGAGAAAACGUUGCCUUUCUCUAUCUAUCUCCCUACCAAUUCACAUCUACUAUUCUAUACUCGUCGUAUCGGGGAAAACCAAGCAGGUCGUCGUUGUUGCGUCGCAGCUGCAGCAGCCGCCAUUUUGGUCCUUUGUUUGGUGGCGUCAAGUCCUGUAUAUUUACGGCCACUUGUGUGUACUGCGCAUUAUCAUCCAUUUUCGCCUUUUUCGUUGUGUUUUUGUGAUCUCGUCUCAAGUUGGGGUCGAUAGAAACAAAGAGAAGAAACCCGCUUGUUUUUUGCUAAUAAAAUCAAGAAAGAAGAAGUGAUGAGAAUCAUGGUUACUGCCAAGAGUAGCCUUAACGGUGGGGUUAGACGGGGAGGCCGUGCUUGCUCGACCUCUACGGGCAAUCCCAUAGAGGACAUGGCCAUUUCAAGCCAAUCCAAUACGGCUUCAACCCCAAACAGGGCUAGCAGGACACCUACUGCUCAGCCUAUUGCCAUUCCUGAUUCUGGUGCAAGAAGACGCUAUGGUUCACCAAGAAGUGUCCAGUCUGGUAGUCCCCGUUCUCAUUCUUAUGCAUCUUCCAAAUCAAGCCCCAAUCGAGCAUCACCAUCUACCAAUGGGCUUUUCUAUGCGGGUGCCAAGUUCAGUGAGGCUCCAGCGGCGGCCAGUCUUCCUAAACCUCCACCUCACUGGACCACUACAAAUGCAACAUACCACAAAGAACAGUUCCAAGAAAUAUCCAAUCAGUUGAAGAUGCUCCUCAACAUCAAGGCCUAAGAAUGCACAAUCAUCUAUUUCCUAUAUAUCUUAUCCCCUCACGCAUACCUGGCACAUCAUAAUCUCAUCAAUCCAUCCCAUCUGCCCUCUCCAAUCCGAAUGCUCUCUUUACCAAAAAGAAAACAAACGGGACAGUGCAUUCGCUAAAGACCUUCGAAUUUAAAAUUGGAUUUUGGAACAAAGGCUGACAAUUUACAAUUAAAGUAUCAAAUUGUUUGUAUCCCCUCCACCAGUUCCCUCACCUUGUUUGUACGAUUGAGGGUCACCUUUGUAAAAUUUUGCAGUAGAGACCAUAUUUCCAAAAGUCUAGCCCCAGAGAAAUUUUGCCAUAGAUUUGAAAACGACGAACCUUUGUAUAGGAGACAAGAACACAAAGCUGCUGGCAUCAGGGAAAUUUGUCGGCUAGAAAGAGAAUUAAGGUUAAGUAAGAAAAAUGGUCAACUGGAUGAUCCUCACUCUGUCGAAAAUUCUUAAGGAUGUAAAUAACGGUAGAGUACAAAGCGUGUUUAUCACCCCACCCCUACCAUAUAUGUGUAUUUGAAAAUCAGAAGAUUUAGGGCGUCCGAGCCUCUAUUUUUAAACAAAAACAAAGCAAUGUGUCCGAUGUAAACAAGAAAAGUGUGAAUGCCCAUUGUUCAUUCAGUAAAAUUCAUCCCCAUCUAUUUGCAUUUGUUUGAAUGGCCAAUUUUUUUUUUCUCUUACUUGUUUUAUGUCUAAAGUCAGUAUGGUGGUUAAUGGCCGUCGUGGUGGUCGCUUGCCAGUCGCUAUUUUGUUUACAAGAGGAUUGUGAUAAAACCCAAGUUCCUCCUCCAAACAAUUGAUCGUGUCUCUCGCUCCUCCACCCUUGAAGCCUCAUCAUUUCGCUGCAAUCGAAUGUUUAUUACUUUAUUUGUGAUCAUUUUGCAUUUUUUUUUUUUUUUUCGUUCGUCCAUCUUUUCAUUUGUUUCCAGAAAGCAUUCUUUUUCCCCCCCAUUUUUUUUAAAUUUGUCUUUUCUAUUUCCUCAUGCAACAAAAAAAAUCAACUCUUGAAAUUGCUCCAGUUAUGUCUACUAUGUUUUUGUCAAUCGCUCUUUCCAUGUGACUUUGUCCACCUCUCUUUGUCAUCCCUUUUUUUUAACGGGUCCUUUUUAGGACCCACAAA